GUUACAUCCCUCUUUUUUUUAAUUUAUUUUUUUUUUGGUUAAAACUUUAUGACUCUAUAACUUUUAUACCGUGAGGUCAAACUUGGCAUGUGCUACCUUUCAGAAAGCCCAAAGAGAGCCUUCCAACGAAAGAAGCAGGACAAAGGAACUUUUCCAUUGACUUUUUGUCGACCCCAAAUUUUGACCUUUAAGUACUUCUUCGGGUAUUUUUGUGAUUUGGGCUAUAUUACGGACCCAAAAUUACUUGUUCAAGCAUUGUUUUAGAAUUUUUCCAUGCAUCAAAGCUCGUUAAGACUAGAUGAGGUAUCCCUACACAGCGGGUGGAACCUAUGGUGAACGGUUCAUCAAGUUUUCAAAAAAGAAUAUAUACGAUUGCAUUGCAUAUACUAACGGAUGCGAUCAUA
rnacentral:rRNA from 1 species